rnacentral:rRNA from 1 species
UAACCUGCCCAAGAGACUGGGAUAACACCUGGAAACAGAUGCUAAUACCGGAUAACAACACUAGACGCAUGUCUAGAGUUUAAAAGAUGGUUCUGCUAUCACUCUUGGAUGGACCUGCGGUGCAUUAGCUAGUUGGUAAGGCAACGGCUUACCAAGGCAAUGAUGCAUAGCCGAGUUGAGAGACUGAUCGGCCGCAUUGGUACUGAGACACGGCCCAAACUCCUACGGGAGGCAGCAGUC